AGGCAUCAACUUUUUCAGCAGCUGCAAGGCUCGUCUCAUAAACUUCUCUCCCACAAAAGCAUAUAUGAUGGGGUUCAGGCAGCAGUGAGUGAACUCCAGGAAAAGGGAAAUGUUAUAUGGGGCCCAGAGCGAGAAAAAUACAACCACUGUACAGAUGAUCAGCUUGACGAUGCGGUGCUUCUUUGCAGUCCUCAUGUUUACCAGCCUGGGGAUGAUCCUGGAGUAGCAACCUACCAUCACCAGCAAGGGAAUCACGAGACCCAGCACAUUUAUGGUGAACAGUUUAAAGGAGGAGGUGAUUUCAGAGCCCCUGGACAUAACUGAGCUUCUCCUGAAUGAGCUGUCUGUCAGAUCUCUGCUGUAACCAGGCAUCAACUUUUUCAGCAGCUGCAAGGCUCGUCUCAUAAACUUCUCUCCCACAAAAGCAUAUAUGAUGGGAUUCAGGCAGCAGUGAGUAAACUCCAGGAAAAGGGAAAUGUUAUACGGGGCCCAGAGUAAGAAAAAUACAACCACUAUACAGAUGAUCAGCU